rnacentral:rRNA from 1 species
AUUGAACGCUGGCGGAAUGCUUUACACAUGCAAGUCGAACGGUAGAGGGGGCAACCCCUUGAGAGUGGCGAACGGGUGAGUAAUAUAUCGGAACGUGCCCAGUCGUGGGGGAUAACGUAGUGAAAAUUACGCUAAUACCGCAUACGAUCUAAGGAUGAAAGCGGGGGAUCGCAAGACCUCGCGCGAUUGGAGCGGCCGAUAUCAGAUUAGGUAGUUGGUGGGGUAAAGGCCCACCAAGCCAACGAUCUGUAGCUGGUCUGAGAGGACGACCAGCCACACUGGAACUGAGACACGGGCCAGACUCCUACGGGAGGCAGCAGUGGGGAAUUUUGGACAAUGGGCGAAAGCCUGAUCCAGCCAUUCCGCGUGCAGGAUGAAGGCCCUCGGGUUGUAAACUGCUUUUGUACAGAACGAAAAGGUUUCUACUAAUACUAGGAGCUCAUGACGGUACUGUAAGAAUAAGCACCGGCUAACUACGUGCCAGCAGCCGCCAUAA